rnacentral:rRNA from 1 species
GCGUGCAUAACACAUGCAAGUCGAACGCGAAAGGAUCCUUCGGGAUUUGGACGAGUGGCGAACGGGUGAGGAACACGUAAGAAUCUACCUUUCGGUUGGGGAUAACUUCUGGAAACGGGAGCUAAUACCCAAUAUGCUGUGGAGUGAAAGAAUUUCGCCGAGAGACGAUCUUGCGUCUGAUUAGCUUGUUGGGGUGGUAAUGGCACACCAAGGCGACGAUCAGUAGCUGGUCUGAGAGGAUGGACAGCCACAUUGGGACUGAGACACGGCCCAGACUCCUACGGGAGGCAGCAGUGGGGAAUUUUCCGCAAUGGACGAAAGUCUGACGGAGCGACGCUGCGUGAAGGAUGAAGGCCCGUGGGUUGUAAACUUCUUUUCUCGAAGAAGAAAAAAAUGACGGUAUUCGAGGAAUAAGCAUCGGCUAACUCUGUGCCAGCAGCCGCGGUAAGACAGAGGAUGCAAGUGUUAUUCGGAAUGAUUGGGCGUAAAGAGUCUGUAGGCGGUUUAGAAAGUCUUUUGUGAAAUACUUCAGCUCAACUGAGGCUCCGCAAAAGAAACUUCUAGACUUGAGGAAAGUAGAGGUACAGGGAAUUUCCGGUGGAGCGGUGAAAUGCGUAGAUAUCGGAAGGAACACCAAUAUGGCGAAGGCACUGUACUGGGCUUUUCCUGACGCUCAGAGACGAAAGCUGAAGGAGUGAUUAGGAUUAGAUACCCUAGUAAUUUCAGCCGUAAACGAUGAAAACUCACUGUCGAGCCAAUAUAUGGAGCGGUGGUCAAGCUAACGCGUGAAGUUUUCCGCCUGGGGAUUACGCUUGCAAAAGUGAAACUCAAAGGAAUUGACGG